AGUGAACGCUGGCGGUAGGCCUAACACAUGCAAGUCGAGCGGCUGCACAGGAGAGCUUGCUCUCUGGGUGGCGAGUGGCGGACGGGUGAGGAAUACAUCGGAAUCUACUCUGUCGUGGGGGAUAACGUAGGGAAACUUACGCUAAUACCGCAUACGACCUACGGGUGAAAGCAGGGGACCUUCGGGCCUUGCGCGAUUGAAUGAGCCGAUGUCGGAUUAGCUAGUUGGCGGGGUAAAGGCCCACCAAGGCGACGAUCCGUAGCUGGUCUGAGAAGAUGAUCAGCCACACUGGAACUGAGACACGGUCCAGACUCCUACGGGAGGCAGCAGUGGGGAAUAUUGGACAAUGGGCGCAAGCCUGAUCCAGCCAUACCGCGUGGGUGAAGAAGGCCUUCGGGUUGUAAAGCCCUUUUGUUGGGAAAGAAAUCCAGCUGGCUAAUACCCGGUUGGGAUGACGGUACCCAAAGAAUAAGCACCGGCUAACUUCGUGCCAGCCGCCGCGGUAA
rnacentral:rRNA from 1 species